rnacentral:lncRNA from 1 species
CUGCACUUUUCAAGCUUUCCAGACAAGACACAUUUCUCUCUAGCUAAAAAGACCUUUUCUUCUUUUGGUUUCCUCAGCUGGAAUCAUCUGCAAGCCUUGUGGCCAAGUGUGUCGACAAACAAAGAAAAAUCAUCAGAUGGUGAAUACUCACUCUGGGAUUUGUACCCCGCCCAUGCAGAGACUGAGCCCUGCCCUCUCCAGCCACAACGCAAGAGAUUUUGGUGUCAUACUUGUGGUGUCUCAGUGUCCUCCACUCGACUGCUGCUGUUUUGGCCCGAAAGCCCACCAGGGUCUCUGGCAAGUUUUCUGAACUGUCACAUUUCUGAGUGGAAGAUGCACAGACUCCUGGCCAGGGGAAUACAGGGGAAAAUCUUAUUUACAGAUAUUUCUUCCCCUGUCAGGCAUGUCACCUUUGGGAAUGGAAGCUACACUGUAGAAACAGCAAUAAACCUGUGAGGUUUGAAGGGCAUGACAGGGAAUGCCACCUAUUAAAAGAUAAGUAGGCUGAAAAGCAUGGGAUGAAGAACAGCUGUUAGGAAAUUGCCUUAUUGCUCUUAUCCAGUUAUUCUUCAAUUACAUUUGCUGAUGUUUUUCUGUUUCGCCUUGGCUGCCUUACUCUUGGGUGCAUUUUUCUGUGUCUAUUGUUUUGAUUACUUUGCACCUUUUAGUUUUGUCCUGAAUAAAAAUCAGCUUCAUUUGGAUUGUGGCUGCA